GUGCUCACUGGGGCUGCACAUAUACUAAAGUUGGAAAAAUACAGAGAAGAUUGGCAUGACCCCAGUGAAAGGUUUACGUGUGAGUCUGUGUACCAUCCAUACUUUU
rnacentral:snRNA from 1 species